GUGGCGACCGGCGCACGGGUGCGUAACGCGUAUGCAACCUACCUUUUACUGGAGGAUAGCCUUUAGAAAUGAAGAUUAAUACUCCAUAAUAUUUAGAUUCAGCAUUGGAUUUAGAUUAAAGUUUCGGCGGUAAAAGAUGGGCAUGCGUUUUAUUAGUUAGAUGGUAAGGUAACGGCUUACCAAGACUACGAUAAAUAGGGGUCCUGAGAGGGAGAUCCCCCACACUGGUACUGAGACACGGACCAGACUCC
rnacentral:rRNA from 1 species